GGAAGUAAAAGUCGUAACAAGGUUUCCGUAGGUGAACCUGCGGAAGGAUCAUUACAUUCAGUAGCCUAGCUACUUGUUUACACCCUUGUUUUUGCGUACCUAUUGUUUCCUCGGCGGGCUUGCUCGCCGGUUGGACAAAACUAUAACCUUUUUUAAAUCUUCAAUCAGCGUCUGAAUUAUACAUAAUAAUUACAACUUUCAACAACGGAUCUCUUGGUUCUGGCAUCGAUGAAGAACGCAGCGAAAUGCGAUAAGUAGUGUGAAUUGCAGAAUUCAGUGAAUCAUCGAAUCUUUGAACGCACAUUGCGCCCCUUGGUAUUCCAUGGGGCAUGCCUGUUCGAGCGUCAUUUGUACCCUCAAGCUUUGCUUGGUGUUGGGCGUCUUGUCUUGUAUUAGACUCGCCUUAAAGUCAUUGGCAGCCAGUGUUUUUGGUAGUAAGCGCAGCACAUUUUGCGUCUUAGUCCUUGAAUCGUGGCAUCCAUGAAGCCUUUUUUUCACUUUUGACCUCGGAUCAGGUAGGGAUACCCGCUGAACUUAAGCAUAUCAAUAAGCGGAGGA
rnacentral:rRNA from 1 species